GGACUACUCGGGUAUCUAAUCCUGUUUGCUACCCACGCUUUCGCGUCUCAGCGUCAAGAUCGGUCCAGAAGGCCGCCUUCGCCACAGGUAUUCCUCCAAAUAUCUACGAAUUUCACCUCUACACUUGGAAUUCCACCUUCCUCUACCGUCUUCUAGCCAGUUAGUUUCGAAUGCACUUCCCCGGUUGAGCCGAGGGCUUUCACAUCCGACUUAACUAACAGCCUACACGCGCUUUACGCCCAAUGAUUCCGAACAACGCUUGCACCCUACGUAUUACCGCGGCUGCUGGCAC
rnacentral:rRNA from 1 species